rnacentral:rRNA from 1 species
UUGAUCCUGCCGGACCCGACUGCUAUCAGAGUGGGACUAAGCCAUGCGAGUCAACGUAGAAAUACGUGGCAUACGGCUCAGUAACACGUAGUCAACAUGCCCAGGGGACGUGGAUAACCUCGGGAAACUGAGGAUAAACCGCGAUAGGCCAUGAUUCCUGGAAUGGUUCAUGGCCGAAAUCUAUAUGGCCCCUGGAUUGGACUGCGGCCGAUCAGGCUGUUGGUGAGGUAAUGGCCCACCAAACCUGUAACCGGUACGGGCUCUGAGAGGAGGAGCCCGGAGAUGGGCACUGAGACAAGGGCCCAGGCCCUAUGGGGCGCAGCAGGCGCGAAAUCUCUGCAAUAGGCGAAAGCUUGACAGGGUUACUCUGAGUGGUUCCCGUUAAGGGGAUCUUUUGGCACCUUUAAAAAUGGUGCAGAAUAAGGGGUGGGCAAGUCUGGUGUCAGCCGCCGCGGUAAUACCAGCACCCCGAGUGGUCGGGACGAUUAUUGGGCCUAAAGCAUCCGUAGCCGGUACUGCAAGUCUUCCGUUAAAUCCACCUGCUUAACAGUUGGGCUGCGGGGGAUACUACAGCGCUAGGAGGCGGGAGAGGCAAGCGGUACUCAAUGGGUAGGGGUAAAAUCCGCUGAUCCAUUGAAGACCACCAGUGGCGAAGGCGGCUUGCCAGAACGCGCUCGACGGUGAGGGAUGAAAGCUGGGGGAGCAAACCGGAUUAGAUACC